GCAUUGGUGGUUCAGUGGUGGAAUUCUCAUCUUCCAUAUAGGGGAGACCUGGGUUCAAUUCCCGGCCAAUGCA
rnacentral:tRNA from 1 species